UAGGGAAUCUUCGGCAAUGGGGGGAACCCUGACCGAGCAACGCCGCGUGAGUGAAGAAGGUUUUCGGAUCGUAAAGCUCUGUUGUUAAGGAAGAACGAGUGUGAGAAUGGAAAGUUCAUACUGUGACGGUACUUAACCAGAAAGGGACGGCUAACUACGUGCCAGCAGCCGCGGUAAUACGUAGGUCCCGAGCGUUGUCCGGAUUUAUUGGGCGUAAAGCGAGCGCAGGCGGUUAGAUAAGUCUGAAGUUAAAGGCAGUGGCUCAACCAUUGUAGGCUUUGGAAACUGUUUAACUUGAGUGCAGAAGGGGAGAGUGGAAAUCCAUGUGUAGCGGUGAAAUGCGUAGAUAUAUGGAGGAACACCAGUGGCGAAAGCGGCUCUCUGGUCUGUAACUGACGCUGAGGCUCGAAAGCGUGGGGAGCGAACAGG
rnacentral:rRNA from 1 species